rnacentral:rRNA from 1 species
CCUACGGGGCGCACCAGUGGGGAAUAUUGCACAAUGGGCACAAGCCUGAUGCAGCCAUGCCGCGUGUAUGAAGAAGGCCUUCGGGUUGUAAAGUACUUUCAGCGGGGAGGAAGGCGAUAAGGUUAAUAACCUUGUCGAUUGACUUUACCCGCAGAAGAAGCACCGGCUAACUCCGUGCCAGCAGCCGCGGUAAUACGGAGGGUGCAAGCGUUAAUCGGAAUUACUGGGCGUAAAGCGCACGCAGGCGGUCUGUCAAGUCGGAUAUGAAAUCCCCGGGCUCAACCUGGGAACUGCAUUCGAAACUGGCAGGCUAGAGUCUUGUAGAGGGGGGUAGAAUUCCAGGUGUAGCGGUGAAAUGCGUAGAGAUCUGGAGGAAUACCGGUGGCGAAGGCGGCCCCCUGGACAGAGACUGACGCUCAGGUGCGAAAGCGUGGGGAGCAAACAGGAUUAGAUACCCCAGUAGUC